UCUCAAGACAUUUCGAUCUGACCAGUGGAAAAACAGGAUGUGGUUAACUUUAUGGCUGUAAACGAUACUGACAUCUGUAGUGGUUAAAUAACUGCCUGCAUAUUGCCACGUAGAUAAUGCUGUUGUACUAUGUAUGUACGUGAUGUUAUACAAUAGUUAAAGGUCAUAGGCUGUUUAUGGAGAGAAAAUAAUCCACGCCUCCAGGCGGAGGUAAAAUAAAAGCGGAGACCAGAAUUACGAGGGGGGCUCCGAAAUUGAACUCUGGUCUCACCGUGUCUCACUGUGUCGUGAUAUCUACAUCUGGUGACCUCGACGUGAUUCAGAACAAACACCCUCGUACCCACUGGCAGGAUCAGCCAACGGUGCACCUCAGCGUACAGCUCCCAUUCGUAGCUGCAGUACUGGCAGAAGUGACCAGGGAGAAACCGGUUCCGGCAUUUUCAGCAGUCGGAGUCUCUACCUGCCCCGCGGGUGCAGUUUCGGCAACUACCAAAUCCAGAGUGGAAAGGCCCAGUUCCGCUUAUAACGUGGGGUCGAGGUUACGCGGCUGUGUCUACGCCUGACGGUCCUGUGUGGGUACCUGCUAGGUGUAUCCGGCCCUGGAAAGACGAUGUCCUGGCACGAUAAUCUUAAGAAUCCCAUCCCUAAUUUUUCUCUGCAACUUCAGGAUACUGGGAUGUCUUCCAGGAAGCGUGGUCGGAAUGUUCCGCAACCUCCCGUGACUUGGGGCCAAAUAAAGAACUUAGCAACACAAGCAGAAAAAGCAAUGGAACAAGCCGGGGUGGACAAGACAACUGAGAAUACCAUUCUUGCUUUAAUUGCGUCUUUAAAUACAAAUUCUAUUUUUGUACUUUGCAUUUGUUGGAUUUUAGGAAGCGCCGGGGCUGACAGGUUGGGGCAGGAGUUGGGGAUGCGGUUUCAACACAAUAU